rnacentral:lncRNA from 1 species
CCUGUUCUAACAAAACAAACACCAGAUAAACAGACAUCAUUCUUGUCGGAGGAGGAUGAAAUCUCUACUGAGCCAUGACGUUGGCAUUGAUACGAGAUAAACAUACAUCAUUCUUGUCGGAGGAGGAUGAAAACUCUAUUGAGCCAUGGCGUUCGCAUUGAUGGUGCUAGGUUCCUCAUUCAAUUGGCGGCUAAGGCCACUCUUAACGAUUUGUUUGCUUCUUUUCAAAUUCAGGUGAAUUGAUGUAUUGUUGCAUUCCGUUAAACACUUCGGGGGACUUUGGGGGCACUGCGGCUAGAGGAGGUAGGAAGGUCGAGCAUGGCGACUCAGAAUGUCCCCAGCCACCACACAAUGUGAGAUGUUUGGCGGAGGGCAUGUUGACCCAUUGUGGAGCAGCGGUGCGUGUGGGCCUUGAAGGCUGGAGUGACAAAAUGGUAGCAAACCCGUAUUUGGUUUGGUGGCACGUGUUAAGAUUAAUUAAGAUACUUAAUUAGGGAAAAUCCCUGCCUGUAUUAACCGCCGACGGAUGCUAUUUCAGCAACUGCCGCGUCGGUUCAUGUUCAGACGCAUCUUCAAAACGAGGCGUCCUCCCUGUACCUAUAUAUGUAGAAGCACCAAUGGAAGAGAGUAGAGUUUUGGUCAUUUGUUUCAUUCCAUCUCAACACGUUAUCAGCACGCUCCCACAGAGCAUUUUUCGGGAAUGGACUCCCCGACGAUAGCAGUGCCGUAGAUCGAGCCGCAUCAUGAUGAUGGCAUGGCCCUCCUUCUGGUCGACGAGGCCAUGCGAGGCAGCAUGUCCCCGUGGACAUGCCUGGCGAACCCUUCUUGAAUCGUUGGGGUUCUGUCAGAUUGGUGAAGGAGUCGGAGUCAAAAGAGAUCAAGCAACCACCGAAAUAGCAAAGUCUUGAUUUAACUACGUGAACAAGGUGCUACUUCCCGAUUUUACUUGUCAGGAACUAGUACCUUUGGCAUUUGUCUUCAGGCAAGGAAUAGUCAAGGAACAGUCAGAAGAAACACAUCAUCUUUUUGGUUAGGGUGAAUUGGAUAUAUGCCAUUGCAACUUUCGUCAAUUGAAAAAUUGCCAUUACAAUUUUACACUUUGGAAAAAUGCCACUACAAUUCUUCCACACUCCUUCAUAUGUCAUUAUACACGGUGAAAGGACCAAAGUGCCCAUAUGACUUCGUUCUAUUGUCACUCAAAUUGCCAUCCGAGCAUCUCCCCCAACCUUUCUUGCGCUCGUCCCACACAAGCCUCAUGUGCCUCAUUGCAGCGAGGCUGUGGGAGGAUGCUGGGAGAUGCUGGUGGGCAAGAUAUCUACCGACAAAUCACACAUGCUCAUGGGUCUGCCCCAGCAGCACGUCCAUGGUCCUCACCGCUCCACGCGGUCUAGGAACAUGCAUGUCUAGCUCGGCUUCGUGGGUGACCUGGUGCACGACAUGGUUCACCCUGAGCCCAUGCCAGUGGGGUCGCAAGUGAAGCCGCACAACACCACGACGGUGGUUUCGCCCAGCAUGGCGACACAUGCGGCAACCAACACCUGUGCAUAGUAGACGCAUCACGUAGUUGCGGACCGAUGCAUAGCUCCGUCCUCGUCCGCCUCGGGGCAUAGCGCGGAGUAAGGAGAAGGGAGACGGCGGGGGCAUUUUGGUCUCAAAAUGUGUAUAAUGGCAUAUGAAGAAGUGUGAAAGAAUUGUAGUGGCAUUUUUCCAAAGUGUAAAAUUGUAAUGGCAUUUUUUCAAUGGACGAAAGUUGUAGCGGCAUAUAUUCAAUUAACCCUUUUGGUUAUGGCUCAACGUAUCCAUCCCGGUCCGGUCUUCAUAGCGCAUAUGCACUGGCUGGAGGUCGUGGCAGCGGCGCCCAGCCCGCAACAGAGGCACCUUGUUGAACACAGGUAGGCCUCAAACCCGCCCCUCCUCCUCCCGACGACGAGCCGCAUCAGCGGCCGCGAUGCAGCGCCCACCAGCAAAGCAAGGUCUUGCUCCCCGCCCCGGCCAUGGCGAACAAUAUCCUCCCAUGCUCUGAAUCGAGGCGGGCUCCAUUGGCGAGGCCUCCUUCCCUGCACAUGCGGCAGCGCCCCAAUCGCCGCCCCGGGUAUCGCCUCCGCGAGACCCGUACUCCGGUGGCGUGACCGUCGACGGAAGCCGCGGCGGCCCUCCGAGCAGCAAGUGCGGUGCUAGCGCAGCACGACAAAGCCGUGAGGCAAGGUAGCGACUGCGACCACGGACUAAUGGCACGACUGGACGACGACGACCCGGCUUCUCAGACAGAGGCUACCCGCGAGAGCCCAUCCAUCCCCGACGAAGCCACUCCGGCGGCAUGGCUGCCGAUGACGAUGGACGCGGAUGGAGCCCGCCGAAGCCACUCCGGCGGCAUAGCUCCCUCCCGUGUGAUGGCUCGGCCUUAGGGCUCGAUGCGGCCCGUGGCCAUCGGCCCCGACGAGAAGAGCCCCAUCACUCUCAAGUGAUGCGGCCGACCGGCUGUGGAAGCUCCGCCUGUGUCGUUCAUGAGAAUUGGGGAUCGAUGUGGCUGAAGUACUCAUGUGGCUGGGGCAUCGCUUCCUGGCUACUCGUCCUUUUCCGUUUGGUUGACCAGGCUGCACCUGGCUGGGUUGUCCUACGUGGCCUAUUUGCAUGCGGUUGAGCCACCAGAUCGAUGCUGAUGCUAAUUUGCAUUAUUUACUUAAUUGCUUGUAUUUUGAGCUUUUUAGCAGAUUAGUGCUCCAACAACUAUUGCUAUUUAUUAGCAUUUCUCAUGUUUAGGCCAAAUUUGCAUUUAAAUCAUUUUCUGUUGAAUUUUAAAAUUCCAGAAAUACAUGGUUAUUAAUGCCUGGCAUGUUCUUUACCGAAACAAAGACAUUGUUUUGCUGUUGAGAUUAAAUUUUCUCUCACAACAAUAUUGAUUUACGAUUGAGAAUUAUUAUUUUCUCGUAAAAUAAUCUUAUUGCGAUUGAGAUUAGUUUUCUCUCGCAAAAUAUUAAAUCACCUUGCUGAAUUAUCUUGUAACUUGAUAUAAGAUCAUCUCAUUUAAUUCGAGGUCUAUAUAAUUCAUUCACUUGAGCUUCAAGUUUGCAACAUCAUUACUAUUCAUUACAAUAGUAGUGUAUAUCUGUUGAAUACCGAGAUGUAUUUCAGAAGUUGAUGUAAUAUAUUUCCACGUUUAUCACGUGUCGAGAUUAAUUACGUCCAUUUGCAAUUCGGAUUUUUAAUCCAUUGCGAAGAUAAAAAUUCAGUACUUCUGAAGUACUGUUUUUUCUGAUGAGUACAAUGUACUCUCGAAUGUAUGUAUCUCCAUGUUUACUACAUAUCGAGAUUAAUACGUCUAUUUGCAAUUGAGUUUUUCAAUUUCUUGCAAAUACAUAUGUAAAACUCAAAGUGGUUUUCUUCAAAUUGAUGCCUGGGAUCACAAGGUACUCAUUUGAAUCUAACGCAGAUUAUCGAUGACUACUGAUAAAAGUCUAUAUUUUUUCGUUUUGACAUUAUGGUUGUUUUACAAAAUGCUCUCCCACACAUUUUUCUAAGUCAUGACAUAAAUCAUUAUGAAUGAGUAUCUAUUGAUUUCAUCACAUUAUACUCCCUAGUGCAGAGAAAUCUACUCAACUUUGGAGAUUAUCUUCAAGGGGUUAUACUUAGCAAUUUGAGAUUCACACUAAUGGUUUCAAGAUAAUUUCUUGAAAUACCCAUUGAUUUUGCUAAGUUCAUUACAACAUCAACCACGAUGGUCUUUAAUUUACUGGCUGUAAAUUAAUUAUCUCUGGUUUACCCUUAGAGGUAACAUAUGGUUAUAGAAUUUGAGGCAUUCGCCCUCAAUGGCCACCAUUGUCGGCCCUAUCUGGUCCAUGGACAUCAUGAUCGCUCUUGUGUCUCGUGGGAUAAUGUGUGCAAUCCUAGAUUCACCUCUGGUUAGGAUCACACUGCUAACAUAAGAAUGUUGUCUUAUAUAUCAUAAGACAUUAGAUUCAGAUCUCAGUAUAUGGCUAUUCUGUAUCAGCAAUUCCUGGGGUACAAUGACCUAAAGGGCAAAGGUUUGAAGCUCACUUCAACCUUCAACCCGACAUCACCAGUGAUGACGGAACCUAUGGGAACGGAGAACGUGUGGUUGAACAUGCCUCAACUGACAUGUUUGGAGACUAUGAGUAGUCUCUCAGUUUCCUGAGUGGUCAAUAUAAUUUAUGUCCAUUCAUGAUGUUGUAACAAUAACAUAAAUAGUUUUGCCAUCAUAUAUUGUAUAUUACAAUAUAUUGUAUCAACAUUUUGGUACAAAUACAUUUGUAUGUAUUCUAUAUAUCUACAGUGAUUUUCAGAUUGAGAAUCUUCAUGUCUACAUAUAGAUUUCUACGGAGGUCAAUAUGAUGAAAGAUGAUUUGUGCCUUGUGGACAUAUGCAACACAAACUCUAUAUUCGGGGAAUUGAAAUGUCUCCACUCUCGUUGAGAGAAAGGAUAUAUUUUAAAGUCACUAGAUGUGAUGAUGUUUAACUCGUACCCUAUUAAACUAUAUAGGUAUCCGUCAAAAUAGUUUCCAUAGCGAAACUUAUGAUGACAAGAAAGAGAAAUAAGUUCUCUUUACCAUAUGCAACGGAUAUGGCAAGCACAUUCUCUAUGUAUCAUCUGGAUUGUACUACACAUACGACACAACCCGUAGCACAUGUUGCGUAUGAGAUAGUUUUCCAGAGUGUCCUGUACAUGACAAACUUGGCAUACUUGCCUUGGUAAUCGAGACAUUGGGUUGAAACUGAAAUUAUCAACAAUUCCAAUAGUUUAUGAUUAUUAUGAUGCUAAAUUCUAACAAUAUUUGGAUUUUGUGUGCACUACAUGUGACACAGGGAAGCUAAUUUGAAGGCUCGCGCACCUUAAAGUCUACGCUGAACCACUCAGACUCCUUGACUGCAUCAAGUCGAGGUAAGUGACUCUUCCCAUCCAUUGACUAGACCAUUCAGGUAUUCCAUGGUUCUAAAAGACAUAUCUAUACGAUUGUCUCGAGUGUGAUUUAUCCACAUGAAACCAUUGGCUCAUUAUCCUGACAUCGAUUUGAAGCAAAUCGAAUGGAUAACAUUGUAAAAUUCUCCUUGAGUGCCUUCUCUACGGACCUUGGAUUGAAGUUUAGCAAUUUGUCCUAAUGUCUAGACUCAAAAUGGUUUGUUAGAAUCCUUUAUCUAAAGAAUUAAGCUCAUUGCAUUAUCUUUACUUUGGAAUUGCAACUUACCAACUUUACGUUGGAGUCAUGCAGUUUUACACGCUCAUGACAGAACUGCAUAAUAUUAUUCCCCUAUAUCUUUGAUACGUGGAAAUCUACCAAGUAUUUCCCAUCUGCGGUAAUUCGGUUGCAUACCGACAUCACCACCCGGCAUACAUCAUUGGCCCCUCAACAUAUAGUUGGGAUCUAUGUGAGGAAUAACUGUAUUUCUGUCAAUACCUCAAGCCCCUCGCAUGGGGAGUUAUUCAAGGCAAGUAUGCUGAUUCAUGAGGAAUAUUUCCAGGCAUUAGGGGGAGAAUUCAAGUACCAUAAAUAAUGCCAGGAAAUUAGUGGAAUGUUCAACACAUUUCUGCCUCAAAUCCACGUACUCAAAGAUCUGAACCAUGCGUUCAGAAUAUUUGCAACACAUUGCAAAUAACCUGCCAGAUUCAUUUACUGAAUAUAAAGGUGUCACACAAUCCUACAAUACUGCAAAAGUACGCCUGAAAGAGUGGAGGUACCAACAAAAACCACUCCACUCCCCAUUCGAUGCAACAGGGGGAGAUGUGUAUGGCAGAAGUACAUAGGGAUUCAGUUUCUCGCAAGCAAGGAUAUCAAGGCCUAUGAAUAGGUAAAUGCAAGUCAACUUCACGUUGACAGACACCUAAUGGGUAGUAUAUACCCAGUAGAUGGGAAACCUCCUUCAACCUAGGUCAUGGUGCACACAAUGACCGCGACAUCGGAAUAACCGACUCAAUUGCAUUGGGAAAUCGCGAGUAGUCAUCAUUGGUAACGAUAUUUCCAUCAACAAUAUAUUUAUAUAUAGAUUCUAAAGAAUCAUAUAACCGGAAGUCUAGAAUUGUCGACAUACAUUUCUCAACUAGAUUGCAAAACCUUUCACAUGAUUCAGGUCCAAGACCAUGGCCAUGGCAUAGUGUGAACAACACUGGGACUAAACUCAAGCAAAGGAUAUAAUAUAGGUAGAAAUAAUCUUGCUCAAUAAUGGAAAGGUAUUCAUAAGCAAUACCUACACCAGUUUUCUUCUGCAAACAGAAUUGAGAACAACAAGGUGGUGAAACAUAGAGCAAGUAUUGUAGCACAAGGUUUCACGCAGAUACCCAACUAUUCUCCAGAGGUGGAAUCUCUUUCUGAUAAUUUAUAUCAUUGGCAGUACAAAAUCAUCUAUCUCUGCAGUUGAUAGAUGUAGUGAUCACAUAUCCAUGUGGAUCACUAGAUUCAUACAUAUAUGAUUGAUUCCCAAUGGAAUCUCACUUCUGAAUCGAAAUGCAAAAUGCAACAUACAUUGUGUAAAAAUCAGUAAGUCAUCAUAAGACUUAUUGUUGUCGGUACAUAUGGUACAACCAACAUAGUGAGCUCCUUGUACAAAAGGAUUACUCCUACAAUGAUGAUUAUCCAUGUUUGUGUGUCUGUAAUGACGACACAUGUAAUCAUCCAAAUGACGGAGUAUAAAAUGAAGUUUUGGUAAACCAAAAUACCGCUCGUUACUACAACUUGAACACCUUCAUUCAUACACUAUGGUAUACUAUGUUGUCUAUAUCCAUAAUAUAUUGGAGAAAUUCCUUGUGGACAAAUCAUAUCCAUCCAUAACCCUCAUGGUAGUUCAUUCUCUAGACGUAGAGAAAGAUCUAUUUAGACCAAGAGAUGAUGGAAAUGAGAUAUUGGGACUGAACGUUCCAUAAUGCCAUUGGAUCCACCAAACACAAAUUGGUUGGUACUCAAGAAUAUCUUUCGAUAUCUCCAAGGCAUCAAACAUCUUGUCCUGGGUUUUCAAUUUCACAUAAAUGUGAACACCGAUAUCAUUGGAUACAUCGAUCAGAUCCCCACUAUAUCAGGUCAUAGACAAACUUAGUGUUCCUACUAGGUGUGGUAGCCCUCUCAUGAAGAGUCUUCGAAACUGACCUCAUGCCUACAUCCACCAACCAUUAUCUCAACGAUAAUGUUUCUUGUGUUGCCCGGAUGCAAAUAGGUUACAUAAUAAGCAACAUCACUAUAUUGCAUAUCUUGCAAGUCAAAUCAUGCGACUGAUUUGUUCAUCGGGUCUCUACCAACUUAUAUGUUCCAGAAAUGUGUUCAUGGAAUUGGUAUGUGACGGCUUCGAAUUUUGCAAGAAUCAGGGGGAAGUUGUUCCUGUUCAAUGCAUCAUAUUAUACUCUUUUUUCAUUCACGAGUUUACUUUACACGUUCUCAUAAAGGUUUUUAAUGAGGUAAAAUCAACAUGAGAUCAUAUGUCAUACUUUCUGUUUUCCCCACCGGGUUUUUUAGGACAGUAUAUACGACAUAUUUAUUGUCAUUUGAACUCUAUGGGUUUUCUCGUAUUGAGUUAAAAAUGGAUAAUAACCAUUAUAUGUUGCAUCAUUUUCUCCUUAUUUUUCCCAUUGGGUUUGAAGGAGUUUUGACAACAUAUCAAUCAAUAUACUCCUCAUAUUUUCCCCACAGGGUUUUUAGAGGAGACUCUUUCAAGAUGAUGAUGCUACCUAUACAAGCAUGGAUUAGGGAGAGUGUUAAGAUUAAUUAAGAUACUUAAUUAAGGAAAAUCCCUACCUGUAUUAACCGCCGACGGAUGCUAUUUCAGCA